CUAGCGAUUUUUCGAACCUUGGUAUUCUCUCAUCUACUAAGUCUAACACACACUCUCUCUCCUCCCAAGUUCUUCACCACCCGACCCAAAACUUUCUAGAUCUACAAAAAUUUCAAAAUUCAGUCAGACGCCGAUUAGUUCUUCGCCUCAACCUCCGGAUCUCCCACUCUCCUCGGUCUCUAAUGUCUGGCUUUCUCACUCGAUGGUUACCUCAUCUCUGUUUUGGUGUCGCUAUCGGUCCUUUUCCAUAGAAAAUGAAUUCGGGAUAACCAGCCAGCCUACUGCAUGGUUAUGAUGAAUACCAUAAAAGUUGCUUCCAAAAGUACAUUGGAAAGGAAACUUGAAAACUAAUGAUCACUCCAUUUAUUACUCUCUUAUGUGCCUUAUUGGAGUCAUAAGCAGAUUUGCGCCCUAUUGUUGUUCAUGUGACCGGUCUUUUAGUUUAUGGUCCAAUUUGCACUGGGCGAUUGUGUUCAUUCUGGUUGAAG